GGCGUGGUGGAGAGAAACUGUGCUAGGCGUUGUGUUGUAGUGAGAAACGGUUAAUUUCCGUAUAUCUGGGAUGAAUUCACACGGGGCCACACUGAGCGGUCAAAAUAAACCAGGGGCCACUCUCUGCAGAGCUCUAAUCCUUCAAGAUCUUCCGCAGACCCGUUCACACUGUGGAAUUCCCCACCGUUGAAAUUGAUCUGUGCAAGCGAAUGAACCUGUUCAUUCUUUGUGAGGAUGUCUGCGAGUACUGCAUUGCCAGCAAUGGUGACACCACAGGGCCACGCAGUCCUACCAAUGAAGUAUUUCGGCGGCUGCAAGAUGUAAUCUCCUCUCACGGAAUUCUGCGAGCGGAGAUACUGUUCACAUUAUUUAAUGUGAACAUACCCUAAAGGGCCUCCAAGCCAUCAUGACAGCAUUCAUUCAAUUGUGUUACGUUCCUUUGAGGCCAUGUA